UACGGAGGUGGCAAGCGUUGCUCGGAAUCACUGGGCGUAAAGGGCGCGUAGGCGGGGAGGUAAGUCGGGUGUGAAAUCCCUCGGCCCAACUGAGGAACUGCGCCCGAGACUGCUUCUCUUGAGUCCCGGAGAGGAAGAUGGAAUUCCCGGUGUAGCGGUGAAAUGUGUAGAGAUCGGGAGGAGCACCGGUGGCGAAGGCGGUCUUCUGGACGGUGACUGACGCUGAGGCGCGAAAGCGUGGGGAGCAAACGGG
rnacentral:rRNA from 1 species